GAAUAAAAUCCCCGAAAUAUUUUUUUCCAGAACGAAAGAAGAUCGAGAGGCUUGAGGGCCAAGCAAGUGGGCCUAUAGGAGGCCCACAAGCCCUGUUACCACGGCCAGGGGUGAGGCCGCGGAAACCAAGCUUGUGGCCCCCCUGGCGCUCCCCUGCCCUAGGUCUUUGGGCUAUAAAUUCCCUAAAAAUCCAGAAACAAUCAGGGCAUCCACGAAAACACUUUUCCGUCGUCGCAAGAUUCUGUUUCCAUGAGAUCUCAUCUGGAGAACCUUCCUGGUGCCCUCCCGGAGGGAACUUUGGAGUUGGAGGGCUUCUUCAUCAACAUCAACGCCCCUCCAAUGACUCGUGAGUAN
rnacentral:lncRNA from 1 species